CUGCCGCCCCCCAGACAGGGGCAGGACCGACGGACGUCUGCCUUCGCUCCCCACAAGCCGCCCGCCUCCCCACGUCCGUCACCCAACCGUCUGGAGAGGGUCUGUCAGAUCUUGUGGAGGGUGUUCAGAAUUUUGAACGCCUCAUGGCCGACCUGCAGAACGAUUUGAAGAAAGCCUUGUCAUUGUACGAUAAGUUGAACUCCAGUGACGAGACGUCGGAGGGGAAAGCCCAGCUCACCGCCAUCCUGCUCGACACCUUUGCCGCACUGAGGAACGAUUUGAACUUUGCCGAGUUUACCAGGGCAGCCGAGAUCCGCUCAGCCCUGACCGGCCGAAGGCACGGACAGGAGCGAGGACCUCCGUGAGGACUGACCGCGAAACCUUUGAACCCCAAGUCGAGCCACAGUCGUCGCAGUAGGGAGUUGUGUGUGUGUCUGAGCGUGCGUGUCUGUGUGUGCGUGUGUGUGUG